GAAAAGAAGCCAGUAAAUCAAAGCAGCAGAACCAUAAAUGAGGGCACAGACAUGGAGAUCUUUCUCCAUCGUUGAGAUGUAGCACCCUGAAUAGUUUAACUUUCAAAGGUCGGUUAACCCCUGUUAAUUGCUUUUGUAAGACAGGGGAGUCAAUGGUGCCUGUUCAAAUGCUCGGAGAAUCUGAGAAGAGAGGAUUGGAAUGAUCAGCUCUGGCUCUGCACUGAUGGGUGCAUGAGUCACAAAUGUUUCCACAUGCAGAGCCAGCCAUCAAACGGACUGAGGACCUGUCAGUGGGACCAGUCUCUGCAUCUGAAAAUGAGCUGGAGAAAGGAGUGGCAAACCACUCCGGUAACUUUGUCAAGUCACACAUAUCUGAAAUGACUGAACAACCACAAGAACAAUAGAUUGUUUGAAGAUGACAGUUAUUCCCUGCCAUGUGAAACAGAAAAGACUACAUGGAAGAAGUUGAGAGAAGAUAAGUAAAUAUAACCACAUCAAAUAUGUAUACCAGUUGCUUUUUGAUAGUUCUAUGCAUUUGCACAAACUGGACCAUUAACCCUUGGAGUAUAAUUAAUUGCCUCUUGACUAUUAACCAUUUAUGUGACCUUCAUAGAGUCCUCCAUUCUUCCUAAGACUCAGUUUCUUCAUUUGUAAAAAGGAGGAGCAAGGCAAGUUCCUUCUAGCUUUAUCUACCUUCCUCAGAACUUUUAAGAUCUCUUUCUUAAGUUUUUUGACUAUGGAAAUCACUUGAUUACAUUAAUCAUGAAACAAUAAAAGUUCUCGAGAAUGCGGCAGAGGGGCCUGUGGGCAAGGGAUUGAGAGAUUGUCCUUGUCCAGAUAGUCAUAAAGUUAGCAGAAGUGAUCCACCUAUCAUUCUGGAGUAAUACAGCUGAAGGGAAAGAUUAUUUUGCUCUCUCAUCAGUUCUGGAAAGGUCUUCCUGACAAAAACUUUUUCAACAUGGCAUUCAUCACUGAUCCAUUCUUUAUUCUGACCUAAUCUUGUGCAUGAAAAAAAGAUUAUGGAAAAAAAUGAUGAUUCCUGGCUACAAUUAGAGUAUACUCAUAUAAUACACCUAGCACAUUAAAUCAGAUGGAACUAGUGACUUUUUCCAGGAAUUCUACACAUUUUCCACAACUGUGAACAUGCAACAUAUUAAUACAAAAGCAAUUUAAGAAUUGAGAAAGGCAUGAUAAUUUUCUUCAGAUGUCUGAAGGGAUGUCAUGGUAAAGAGGAAUUAGACCUCGUUUGCUUGGCUCUAGAUGGCAGAAUUAGAAAGUUACUGAGAGACAAAUUUGACUUGGCACCAGGAAAAGUCUUCUAACAACUAGAUGGUGAGUCCUCUCUUUCUAGUAGUCCUUGAGUAAAGGCUUAUUAACCCCUUGCUGGGGGAUAUUUCAGCAGGAUCUUUGUACAUGCAUGAUUCAGACCAGAUAGAGAUUUCUUGUCUCCUCCUUUGCACUAGGUUCUUGUGCUUUCUAAUUAGCUGCCAACAGACCAUAAUUAUGCGAGGUACUAAAUCUGUUUAUUUAUUCUAAAUAUUCCCUUUCAUUUAUAAAUCCCAGUGUUCACCUACAAGAUCACUUUAUCUUAUCACAAAACCUAUUACUACAAACUUAAUUAAAGAUAACAUGAUUUUAGUGGGAAAGUGCAUAUGAGCAGAAAAUGGUACCUGGAAAGCCUAGAAUAGCAUGAUUCACAGGAUUUAGAGAAAAUUAAUAACUGACAAAUUAUUUCCUUUUCAGGUUUAAAUAAAUUAAAUUUAUGAUGUACCCGAUAUUUCAUAAGGGCUACUCUAAAACA